rnacentral:misc_RNA from 1 species
AAAAGCCACACUACCCAAAAUAAAAGAAAAAGUACCAAUCGGCUCUUUCAUUUUUUUUUAAUCACUUCACCAGCAACUUUCUUCAAUGGCUUCUCUCACCGGCGCCGUCUCUUGUUUUCUCCCGGCCGCUAGACUCACCGUCUCCAGAGCUACUGCCAGACUCUAUUUUUCAUCAUCUUCUGUAUCUCCUCUAAAGUGCCCCAAAUCGUCUCCUCUCUUAUCCCAUGUGUUUCGCUACCAGAAGCAAUCAUUGGUUCGAGUAUCUAGUGGAAGUUUCAGUACUGUAGCAUCGGCUAAAUCAGUUGCCUCUGAUCCCGAUCAGUUGAAAAGUGCGAGAGAGGACAUCAAAGAGCUACUGAACACUAAGUUUUGUCAUCCUAUUUUGGUUCGCUUGGGCUGGCACGAUGCUGGUACUUACAACAAGAAUAUUGAGGAGUGGCCGCAAAGAGGUGGAGCUAAUGGAAGCUUAAGAUUCGAAAUUGAACUGAAACAUGGAGCCAAUGCUGGACUUGUAAAUGCACUGAAACUUCUCCAGCCUAUCAAGGACAAGUAUUCUGCUGUUACUUAUGCAGAUUUAUUCCAGCUGGCCAGUGCAACCGCCAUUGAGGAGGCUGGGGGCCCCAAAAUUCCCAUGAAAUAUGGGAGGAUGGAUGUGUCCGUACCUGAGCAAUGCCCAGAAGAAGGAAGGCUUCCUGAUGCUGGUCCCCCUUCCCCUGCUGCUCAUUUGCGUGAUGUCUUCUACAGGAUGGGACUAAAUGAUAAGGAAAUUGUUGCACUUUCUGGGGCUCACACUUUGGGGAGAUCAAGACCUGAACGUAGUGGUUGGGGCAAGCCGGAAACAAAAUAUACGAAAGAUGGACCAGGAGCCCCAGGAGGGCAAUCAUGGACUGUGCAGUGGCUGAAAUUUGACAAUUCCUACUUUAAGGAUAUUAAAGAGAAACGAGACAAUGAUCUGCUAGUUUUGCCAACCGAUGCUGUUCUUUUUGAAGAUCCUUCAUUUAAGGAAUAUGCAGAGAAGUAUGCUGUAGAUCAAGACGCAUUUUUCAAGGAUUAUGCAGAAGCACACGCUAGCCUUAGCAACCUUGGAGCUAAAUUUGAUCCUCCUCAGGGGUUCUCCAUUUAAAAUAGUUUCAGCUGAUGUCAACCAGAGAAUUUUGUGGCAGCCUAUCGGAUUAAGUACAACUUAUCAUCUUUACUUGUGCCGUUACUUUUAUCCAGUCAAGAUCAAGAUAAUACUCAAACAUGAAGACGAAUAAUUCAGGAAAAUUGCAGAGAGAGGAACUGGAUACUACGAAGCGAAAUAUUCCAGCAGAAUAUGAAGUUUUAAGGGUAGUCCAGAGAAGCCUUUCGGAACCAAGUAUUUUUCUAAAUAUCAUUAUUAUUCUCAUUGAUUUUUGAAUGACAUGAUAGGAAAUACACAUAGUGUUUUCAAUCCCACGUUCUUGAUUUGGGAAAAUUUUGCAAUCACUCACGAUUAUCGCUAUGCUACUUGAAUUAUAUACGUUGAAAUUCACUUGAUAAGGACUGGAUA